UACGUAGGGUGCGAGCGUUAAUCGGGAAUUACUGGGCGUAAAGCGUGCGCAGGCGGUUGUGCAAGACAGAUGUGAAAUCCCCGGGCUUAACCUGGGAACUGCAUUUGUGACUGCACGGCUAGAGUGUGUCAGAGGGGGGUAGAAUUCCACGUGUAGCAGUGAAAUGCGUAGAUAUGUGGAGGAAUACCGAUGGCGAAGGCAGCCCCCCUGGGAUAACACUGACGCUCAUGCACGAAAGCGUGGGGAGCAAACAGG
rnacentral:rRNA from 1 species